GUGAAUAUAUAGGGUCGGAAUAGUGAGGCAGCCGUCCUAACUCGCACUCCUGCAACAAUGCAGGUAGAGUUAGGAUAUCCCAAUAACCCCUCCGGUCAUGAUGGGUUUCCUUCGUCAUUUGGGUUCUCUUAAAACCUGGAAAUGGCAGAUGUUGCGCUCGGUUCCGGCUUUUUUU
rnacentral:telomerase_RNA from 1 species